rnacentral:lncRNA from 1 species
UGGUAAGCUGUGCACAGGUACGGACGAAGGACGUGCUGUUUGAGAGCAUCAGCCACCUGAUCGACCACCACCUGCAGAACGGGCAGCCCAUCGUGGCCGCCGAGAGUGAGCUGCACCUGCGUGGCGUGGUCUCACGGGAGCCCUGAGCCAGGUGACCGUUCUCAGCCCUGGCUCCUGCCUGUUCUCAGCCCCGGCUCCUGCCUGUCAUGGCCUUGGGGCUCUCAGCCCUCCUCCUGGAUCCUGGUCAGGCCGAACCACCGCUGCCUCUCCUUCCUCCGCAUGAGCCUCUGGCAUGGUCCUUCCUCCAGCUGGCCCCGGGCUGGGCAGAGCCUCCUCCUGCCGGGGCCCCUGCCCACCCCCUCCUUUGCCUGGAGUGAGGGUGUUCAUACCAAAGACGGAACCAUUUCGCCUUUAAAGAAAAUAUAUCCAGAAGCAGCCGCUGCCUCGGAGCCCUGGCCCUUGGGUCCCCCUCUCGCCUGGCUGGUUCGGUCUAACGCCCCGGAGAGUCAGGGCUCCCAGGACCCUGGGGAGGAGGCGGAUUCCGGGCCUGGCUGGGCUUCCUCUUCCCACCUGAGGACUGGGUGCACAGUUGUCUUUGAGGGGGGACGCUUAAGGUGCUUUGGGGUUCUCAGGCCAGGAUACAUGCUGGCGCUGAAGUGCAGGCAGCCUUGAGGUCACCUGGGAUCUCGGGGUAGCCAGGCUGCUCCAAGACAGUGGAUAUCGAGGCAGUCGUGAGGCCCCUACUCCACCUGGGAGCAGGGGAAGGACGUGGUUGCCUGGCCUGGGCUGCGCCCAGCAGCUUCCCCCCAGUCCUGCCCUCCCAGCUGUCGACCCAGAUGGGAUGUUCGGAUCGGUUUGUAAUUAAACCUGGGAAUG